ACAACGGAUAGAGCCAGAGUUGC
rnacentral:siRNA from 1 species